AUAUCCAUGUCCUCUCAACGAUCGUGCCAAAUAAAGACACAACAAGGAGUAUUAUUUAAAUAAUAAUAAAUUAUUUUUACAGGGAAUUUAGUACGUUCCAGGCAUUCUAGAUGGAUUGUCUUGUUAACGAACUAUGAGCAAGGAAGCAACGGAGAACAUCUGGAAGUUAUCUUAAAUUCAUGAGGGGAGUUAAU
rnacentral:lncRNA from 1 species